rnacentral:rRNA from 1 species
UACGGGGGGGGGCAAGCGUUGUUCGGAAUUACUGGGCGUAAAGGGCGCGUAGGCGGCCUGCUAAGUCGAACGUGAAAUCCCUCGGCUUAACCGGGGAACUGCGUCCGAUACUGGAGGGCUUGAGUGUGGGAGAGGGAUGCGGAAUUCCAGGUGUAGCGGUGAAAUGCGUAGAUAUCUGGAGGAACACCGGUGGCGAAGGCGGCAUCCUGGACCAUGACUGACGCUGAGGAGCGAAAGCCAGGGGAGUAAACGGG